AGAUUGUUUCCAUAGUAACUAAUGCACUCCUAAAGGGGGGGAAAUGUGCACCAAUUUCACACCAAAAAGUAAAAAUUAAACUAAAUAACAGCAGAUCGCGGCCAUUUCAUUAAAAGGUUAUUUUCUCACAAAUGGUAUUACAAAUCUCACAUGCUUCUUUGAAAAAUAAUAUCCUCUUCCCCAUCCUUGUGCCUUCUCACUGAAAGGCAUAUGACAGAAGACCUUUGAAUAACGCACUGAAAAGAUUCAUCAAGAACCCCCUAAGUAAAUGAGAAUGAAGCCUUGAUCUGUUAUGUUAUAGAUAGAACCACAUCUAGUUUUACUAACCAACAUUCAGAUGAUUUACAAAAGAAGAGGAGGAUCACCAAUGAGGAAGGCACCCCGAGAUUUAUGAAGAAGAGGUAUCCUGAUAAGAAACUGGAAUUUCAUAUGGAAUGAAGUCUCAUAGUCACAGACCAAAUAUUUUCUGGUCAUAUAUUUUGGCCAUUACCAAAUUACCACCAAAUGAUUGACUCAAAUUGAUCCAAGCAAAUGUCAGAAGCUGCUUUCAGUUAGUUAAAACAAUGAUCAAUUUGCAAACGAUCGAGUAUUUGAUAUGAGUAUUAUUACAAAUAGACACACUAGAUCUGUGUAAAAAAUAGUUUGAUUUGAUUAACUUACCUAGACAACUAAAUGUUUAAAGUCAUUUAAAGAUUUUCUUUCUGGUAGUUUUUGCAUGUUUUUGCAAAAAAAAAAAAAAAAAAGAGUUAAGUUCUUUUACUUUUUAUGAAUCAGUAUAAUAUUUUAUACCCCUGACUUUUAAGCUGAAAUAUUAAACCGUCACUUUGGUUGUUGGAAAUCUGAUGGCAAAUAUAUGCAUAUGGUCAUACACAUCAUAUAAUCAUAUACACAGGCAGCUUUAGAAUACCAUCCCACUUAAAUCAAUAGUGUAAAAUUUAUUGACCUAAUUCUAUCUUGAGGAGAAGGGAAAAUGAGCAGUGGUGCUUUCUUAUGACUUACGAUUUUUCAUACAGAGUUUCAGAUUUGUUUAUGAUUA
rnacentral:lncRNA from 1 species